rnacentral:lncRNA from 1 species
UUUUUUUUUUUUUUUGUGAAAUGUAACUAUUUGUUUACGUCAAGCUAUAAUUAAUUAAAGAAUUUAUCAAAUAUAAUUGAAUGUCUUAAUAGUUUUGAAUUAUCUUAUUUUAUUCAAAAAAUGAUGUAUGAAUUAUAAAAUAAAAUAUAAAUAUUUAGAUUGAUGAAUUGAAAAUAUUUAGAUAGUGGCCCACACCAGACAUCCCUCAAACAGAGAAUUAUUUGAGGAUCCUUCAAAUAAAAAGUUAUUUGUGACGGAAGUUUAUUCUUGUCAGAGUUGUAAGCUCAAAUUUAUAGUAUUUUAUAAAGAUGAUGGUAGUUGAACCAGAAGCUCAAAUUUCAUGUCAAAAAGAAGAAACGAAAGCACAUAAGUGUUUAGUGUAUAGCCAUUAGGCAGCCACAAGCUAAAGAGUGGUAGCUGAACCAAACCAACAACUACAAAUCCAACUUCAUAAUGAUAGUGGACUUGUGGUCCAUCCACCAGCACCAAAUCAGAACCCUAGAGUCCUGACUUAAUAACAAUUCUAUGGUCCUUCCUUCGCCUAUACACGAUGUUCUCGACAUUUUAACCGUUAAAUCUUAAUUUUUAACUAUUAAAAAUUCAAGAAUAUCCAUAAAAAAUCUUAAACACCAUAAAAUAUCUCACGACUUUCACUUUUUCUUGUUUCCAUAAACUGAUGGUGUUAACUUUUGUAAAAUACCCCAAAUUUCUCUUACCUGCAAAGUCAACACCGCUGGUUUACUGUGAUCUCACACUCCAAUUGUCCCACAAGUUACUAAUCUAAAAUACCAUAACAAGUAUUUUCUUAAAUAAUACCAUCACCGUUUGUAUACACCAUGACUCAAUAAACAAAUAGAUAUACGCUCAUGCAUAACGUACAUGUAUAUACAAAUAUUUAGAGCAUACGAUAAAAUGACAUACAUCGACGAUCAAUUAAAAUAUUAAAUAAAUAAAUAAAUAAAUAAAACGAAAUAAGUCUUUCCAAAACAAACAGAGAUUCACAUAGCAGCUGAUAAAACAUCAAAGUAGCAGCUGAACGACGUCGUAGCCAAAACCAAAUGUGAUCACAGACUUUAUACAAGAGAUUAAUAUCAAUAACCCUAGUCAAUAAGAUAUGUUCCACUAAUACGAGCUAGCUGCCAAUGCCAAACUAUUCUCUACAUGCAUGCCAAUAUCUGAUCGAACUCAGUGUCGCUUACUGUUUCCAAUAUCCAUUGUCCCUGCUGUUGUUCCUAAACGCGCAGCAUCCAACCGAAUACACCACGAUGAGGAAGAUAAGGAAUACAAUGUUGACAAUGGCCGUCUUCUUCCAAUUACUUUUUACGUUGUCCAGCAGUCCAGCCUUGCACGACUGACAGUUGAAGCACAGAACCUUUUCAUCAUUCUGCCAUGCACUGCAGUCAGGGUUGGAGGAAACGGUGGUAGCGUUAUUGGUCCAGGAUAUGGGGGUCACGUAGGAAAAUCCACAACCAUCCGAUGGCUUACAGCAACCAGCCUGCAAAUAAGUAAACACAUUAGAAGAACCGUUACAUUUGACAAGGUGAAAAACGAAAUAACUACACACAAUGCACAGGGCAGUUCAGUUUGUAGUUUUAUUAAAUGUAUACAAAGCCAAACAACUAAAAAAACAUAUAACUCAAAGACGUCAAGAACCAUGGAUAGCAAUUGCUCCUAAGGCAUUGUUAUUAGUCCUACCCAGUUGUAAUCGAGGGAAAUUUACUAUAGUGAAGAGGUAAUUUCAAAUGGUACUGUGUAAAGCACAAUUAACGGGUAUAAAUACACAUGUGGAUGUGGACGACGAUAUGUGGUGGAUGUGGAUGCAAGGUGGUAGGUAGGGCGUCCACAACAGCUUGUUUCUAAAAGGGAUUCUUAUUUUCUUUCAUGACACCAACCAUAUGCACUUUCAAAAAAGCAGGAUAUACUACUAGGAAGGAAGCACGACCACCAACUCCCUAAUGAAUAAAAGAUGCAAACCCGUGAGAUGAUAUCAUUAUUCCCCUAGCAUAACAAUUUAUGGACAAUAUUUUGCAGCUUAUAAGAAUCUAAUCCAGUCGUCAAGAAUCAAAGUGCCACCGGAUAACGACUAACGUAAAGUAUAACAAGAGUCUAACAAAAAGCGUAAUAACGGAGGCACCCCCAACAUUGGAAUGUACACCGAACAAGAACAGAGACAGCUCUCCAACCACAAAAUGACCAGUAAUGUAGUCUGUAAGAUGGGAUUUGAUUUCUCUCUAAGCAACUUUGAAGUCUAAAAUCUGAUUUAACAUUGAAUCAAAUACGUAGGAUUGACUUCAUUUUGAAAAAGGGGAAGUUGGAAAAGUUGCAGAUUGAAAGGUUGAAGGCUUGUGAAUACAAUACGGCUUUUUAACUUUUCAAAACUCAUUUUAUACCAGACAAUGAAUGAAAUUGAUAUUCUAACACAAUUAAAUAUCUCUAAAUUACUUGUUCAAUCCAAAAGAAAAUUUAAAAAUCAAUAAAACACCACACAGGAAUCCAAAAUUCGAAAAAGUCAGGCCUCCUACACCGACAUGCAAUAUUCAGUUCUUAACACAUUGUUCAGAUCUGAAAGGAGCACAAAGGGGAGAAAAAUUAUUAAAAGCCAGAUAAAAUCAGAGAAAUUAGAACAUUAUCAACAUUCAGAAACCACAACUCAGACCCAGAAACAAACAUAUCCAAGACUGGAAACAAAAUCUAGAUUAAAAUCAAAACAAAUUUCACCUAAGACAGGUUCAGAGACUAACAUUUCAACCCAGUUGAAGAAAAAAAAAAUCAGAUCUGGAGCAAGGAUUAAGCAGAAUUCAAAAAGAUCCCAAAACAAAAAAAGAAGAAAAUAUGAUACCUGAAGCGCUGACAGGUUCUCAGAAUAGAAGGUCUGGAUGGUAUCAUUGGCAUACUUGUCCCUGAAAUUAGAGCAGACCUUGCUGUCAAUGAGACAGCUCUUGAUCUUGUUCCAGUUCUUGGUGCUGUUAACCCUCUUCUGCAGCCACUGCGAGUAGUCCCCGAGCUUGUACUCCUUGUACCCUCUAUUGGAAAGCACUUUUCCGGCGCCUUUGUUGGUGACGGCGAAGGCGAAGAUGGUGACGGCGAAGAGGACUACGAUGAGGAGGAACAUGACCAGUAGGUAGACCCACAGCAGCCACGAGACCCGGCAGCAGGCGCCGAUUAGGCCGGCCAGCGACACCAGCAUCAGGAAUACGCCGAGGAUGAUGACGGGCUUGUCUAGGAACUUCUCACACUCGGUGCUGCCUUGCUUGCUCAGCCAUACUCCGGCCCACACGAUCGGAAUCGACAGCAGGAACGUUAUGAAGUUGAGGAGACCCACCAGGUUGUUGCUGACCCUCAUUGUCGCCGGCGAUUUCAAAAACCCAGUUCGCAAAAAACAAGUUUUUUUAGAAAGAGAAAGAAGAGAGAGAGAGAGAGAGAGGUGCAGAAGUCGAUUGAGGAAUUGUGAGGAUUGACGAGGAGGAGAACGCGGUGUUUAUAUGGUGGGUUUUACGGAAGCGUAUCGGAGAUUAAACCGUGUGGGGGUAGCGGAGAUUAAAAAUAAACCGUGUCAAGUGUCAUUUGAGGAUGAUUUUUUCCUUCUCUGAUUCGGAGUAGUUUCCAAUAUCGGCAAGGUAAUAAAUUUCACUCGGAUUGACACCGCCACAAGCUAACAUCCACGAAAGUCACCAGCUGUUACAACUUACGAGUGAGAAUCUUCGGCGGUUCUUAUUUGUGAGAAUCGGAGAUUUUCAAAUCAUAACGGCUCAUCUUAUAUUAUGCACUUAGAAAUUAUUGUAAAUUUUUUUAUUUAAAAUUGAAUAUAAACAGUACAUUACAAAAAACUAAUCCUAUGAUUUACGAUGAACAGAUGUGAUUGGAGGAUCUUCGAAAUCCUCACAAAAAUGAGCCUCUCUCACAACUUAGAACUUAGAUAUUUGACCAAAAAGAAGAUAAGACACCACCCUCUAUUCAUACCUUUAAUUUUGGAUUUAUUUGACAAACGAUAUUAUUUACACUAAGAGCAAAUUCAUCCUAAUGGGAUAGGUUGUGACAAAGUGUAAAAAAUAGGUUGGCUUCACUCAAAUCCCCUCCAGCCAAUCCAAAUAGGCCAGCCCAUAGCUCAAGCCAGUAUGUUGGCCGGCCCAAAAUGUACUGAGCAAUGUACCGGCCUAUGUGAUAUCAUGCUGGCGUCAACGAGACCCAAAAUUUUUAUUUGCUUUAGGCAUGUGGGAAACAAGCACGAGUGGGUGCGCCUUCUUGAUAGAAAAAAGACGGCGGGGCCCGCCAUCUCAGACUCAAUAAAAGGGAGCGGGGAGAAGCCACGUGGUGCUUAUUCGGCCGUUGGAUUUCCAAUGGCUAGUUUUCUGAACCGUUGGAUUUCCAAUGGUCAAACAAGUUUAAAAUUUAAACCCAACGACUAGUGAUGUGGCGCGUUCUAGGCCGUUCGAUUCCUAGAUCAACGUUCCACGAUUUUCAACCAAAAAAAAAACAAACAGUCAGAAUUAUUACCUUUGGCCACGUGUCGAAAUCUGGGCUGUUGGAUUUCAAUCUUUUUCAAAUCCAAUGGUUCAAAUUAAUUAACUUAAUAAAAAAAAAUUAAAAAAAAACUAUUAAAAAUUGUUUAAAAAUACAGAAGAAAAAUAAAUUUUUUUCUAUAAAUACCUAACCAUCAUCUUCCACCUUACACCACAUUUCAAUUGUCAUGCCUCGAUCCCAACAUAUGGCCAAGAUCGACACGUGACGUCACAAAGUAUUUGUAUAUCUAACAUACUGCACCUACGAGAUAUGGACAAAGCACAACCCGAGAACCAAAAGCAUAAUAAUUUUUCAUAUGCUUUAUGGCUGCAUCUAACCUUCUCAUUAGACUGCCUACGUACCCUAAGAAGGGAUCAAGCCAUUCGUAGUUCGUCCAAACACUACCCUCAACUUUUAUCAUAGGACGUUUAAGUGGAAAAUCAUAGCACUUAUCAAUCAAUUAUUAGAACUCGAUAUGCAUGAAAUUACUAGUUUCAAGAUUGCAUAACAAUCCCACAUGACCGUUAAUAUUUUCACUUCACCCAUCGCAUAAAUCAUCAUGUAUCCCCACGUAAAAUCUCAAUACAUAGCAUGUAACAUAUUAAAGAAUCAACAAGCACAAUAUUAUUUUCUAGCCACAUUGAUCAACUAAAAUAAUCAUACUUGUUGAUGCACAAAACCGGAGGUCUUGGAACAACGUAAAUCCGACCGUGAAUCUGCAACAAAUGUAAAUAACACAAGAUGUAUCGUGGUUCACCCCAAGGUUUGGGCUACGUUCACAUUGAUUAUUGUAUUUCUCUGAGAGGUGAGGGGAGUGAGGGAGAGAUCUUCUGAGGGUGAGAGAGCUCUUCCCAUGGCCUAAGAAAAUGGCCUCCUCUAAUUGUGAGGGUGAGGGGUCCUUUUAUAGAAUAAGGGCUCCUCACUUAUUACAUAUUUACCCCUCCAUUUAUUACAUAAUUACAUUUGAGUCCCCCGAGUAUUUAUACGAGGUCUAAAUACGGAGGCCCUAAGUAUGGUAUAAACAAUACUAAUAACAAUUGUUUGUACCAUACUUGACCAAUCUCGAAACUACUGAGCACCGGUCAACGUUAUACCAUUAAUGACCCAGAAGAGUUUCCCUUCAACCAGGAGGCCAAUCACAGAGCGACACGUGUCGACAUCAGAAGCCAAUCAUAGCGCGACACAUGUCAACAUCAGAAGCCAAUCAUAACACGACACGUGUCAAUGUUAGAAUGAAACUACAAACUCUCUUCUAUAAAUAGAGAUCAUUCUCUCACAAUAUUUCCUAAUGUCAUUGGUACUAAAUCAUUCACUAGUACUCACUAAAGGAGAGCUUGAACCUAUGUACUUGUGUAAGCCCUUCACAAUUAAUGAGAACUCUUCCACUCCGUGGACGUAGCCAAUCUGGGUGAACCACGUACAUCUUGUGUUUGCUUCCCUGUCCCUAUCCAUUUACAUACUUAUCCACACUAGUGACCAGAGCAAUCUAGCGAAGGUCACAAACUUAACAUUUUCUGUUGUACUAAAGUCUCCACUGAUUUUGUGCAUCAACAUUUGGCGCCAUCUGUGGGAACGACACUUAUUCCCACUCUCUUCAGCUUUGUCAAGCUGCUUUCUACCAUUCGUACACUCUUUUUUGACCAGGCAUCCCUCUCCAACAUGAGGAGUGAAGGAAGCCACAGCACACAGAAUGACACCUAUCUUGCACUUAGUGCGAAACAAUGAAAGAAGGAAUGAAAGAGGGUUGCUCUUCAAGUUAAAGUCGAUCAGCUAAAAGCUCAAAAUAACAAGAUAACAAUGAAGAAUGAGGUCCUCCAAGAGUAGUAUGAGAAGCUCUUUGAGACGCUCCAUGAAACUAUGCGUACUUAAACACGCGAGCUUGUUGCCCCUGUGGAUAUCAACCAUCAUCUGGGUGCCCCCCAACAUGGAGGGUCACCUUUCUUCGACACGGGUAUCCCUGACGAAGAGCGAGCUAAUCAUCAAAACAUUGAUCAACAUGAGACUUCUCUCAACCUAGCAGCUUCGACCUGAAGCAAGAGAAGUGGAGGAAGACACCUCCUUGCAAAAGGGUUGGAAGGAUCGAAAGCCGUUUAUCGUGACUGCCGAGACUUCCUAAAGCAAUGUCGAGAGAAUCCCGUCCACAUAUGCUCGAAGAUCAAUGACCCAAGGGUUUCUGAAAGACUCGGUCCCCUCCCACGACCCAGGCCAGCUGCCAAUCUAGGGAAGAAAUGACAUGUCCUAGAGGAACAUGAAGGUAUAGGGGACUUUGAGCUAUUCCGACAGACUCGCCCUAGAAGUCAGUACGGCGAGUCCAAGAAAAAAUCACAUGCCCUUGCUCAAAGUUUCCUACUUUAAAGAGGCGAUGGAGACUCACAAAAGAAAAUCCCAAUGGUACAUGACUCCACUCAAGACCCCCUUGUCCUACAGCUCCUCGAGGAAGUAAACAAGUUGAAGGCCGAACAUCAGGGCGAGAUACUUGACUGGAACCAACCCAGGCCUGGCCUUCUGACAAGGAGGAUCCUUGACACCCCCUUCAAGCGAAGACAAAACAUAAGCUUGGUUUACAACUUUAUACUGGAAGGGAGGACCCAAUUGAACAUCUUAACCUCUUUGAGUCCACCAUGGCAUAUCGGAUGCACACUGACGAAGAGCGAUGUCUUCUUUUCCCUCCACCCUCUCUGGCGGAGCUCUAAACUGGUAUUGCCGUCUUCCACCUGAGACAGUAGACUCAUUUGAUGAACUGAGGAAACUGUUUGUCUUUCAAAACAUCUUCCAGACCGAUCGCUUGCAUUCUGCAGAUGACUUGUACACUAUUUGCCAGAAGCCGGACGAGUCAUUACAAGAGUAUGCUGGUCGUUUCAGCCACGAGUAUUCUCACUGCGCUGAGGCAGAUGACAAGACCGUCCUCAAGGCCUUCACGGCAGGCCUACGUGAUUGUUUCUUCAAGUACAUGAUCAAUGCCAACACUUGGAAGACUUACUCUGAGGUGAUGGCACAGGUUUACAACCAUGCCUCCGUCGAGGCAAGGACAUAUCAAGGGAAACCCCCCAUAACCACCCCUUAUCAGCAAGUAGGGACUAGAAGCCAGAUCCAACCAAAUGAGAAUACCUCGACCUUCCAAACGGCAGCGCUGCCUCCCCCUGCCUUUCUUAAUACUUUGCCAAGUCAACAGACAUAUAAAUCUCAGGGCAAAAGGAAAGAUUUCCAUCCUCACCAGUCUCAUUUUAGUAAAAAGGAGUAAGGGACACUACCGCGAUAACCAAGGGUAUCGCCAUGCAAUAAUCCUCGACCCCAGGCAGUCAACAUAGUGGGUCAAAACACGUGUCAAGGACAACCCCUACCCUUGAGGUAUGAGGCAUACACACCUUUGAACGCCACAUGCGUGGCCAUUUACCCCAGCAUAGCACACCUUGAUACCGAAGCCAAAGCCGAGGACACCCAGAUUACAACGCCCACGAAGAACACGGGCACUUUUUGCUGUUACCACGAGCAUAACGGCCAUGACGGCGAGAAAGUGUAUCAUCCUCCGUGAUCAUAUUGAACGCUUUGGCACGUGAAGGAAAAAUUGAUCAAUUCCUCCAUUCACCCUCCAAAGGGGUAACCGUAACCAACGCCAGGUGAAUGUGAUAUAUUCCAUAAGUGGCGGCACACCCAUAUCUAAAUCUUCCAACAGGGCCAUGAAAAAUAGUGAACGAGCUUUGAGGCCUGGCCACCAAGUGUUUCACGUGGAAGACAUCAGGGGAGGGUAAGUAUCAAAAUGCCUAACUGGGAUCCAAUAUGUUUCUACCCUGAGGAAGAAAGAGGUAUCAUCUACCCUCACAACGACCCAUUGAUCGUGGAAGCUCACAUAGCCAACUUUGAAGUUACGACGAAUCCUCGUAGACACGAGGGCUUCGGUCAAUAUCAUGUUUGCCGAAGCUUUCAGGGCACUUAAUGUAGCUGAACACUUGCUCGAUCGCUCGAUUUCCCCUCUGAUAAGCUUCUCUGGUGAUAUCGUGCAACCCUUUGGGGAGCAUACACUUACCUUUCACCAUUGGUACAGGCCCUUACAUACGGCUACCAUUACCACUAACUUCCUAGUGGUUGAUUGCCCAACGGACAUACAAUGUCAUCUUUGGGACGCACAGGCAUCAAUGAUCUCAAGGCCAUGGUAUCCACGCAUAUGCUGUUGAUGAAAUUUCCAACCCCCUAUGGCAACGGCUACAUCAGAGGAGAUCAACUUAGUGCACGAUCAUGUUACAACACUUCAGUUCAAGCAACAACACUUGCCAUGUGACCCAAGGAAACCCUUUCUGUACAUGACCAAGUUCAUAAAGACCAGCCCGUAGAUGAAGCCAACUUGGAUCUUCACGGUGGCAACAAGUCAACCCGACGAUCCUCGAGAUGACUCUUUCACCCAGCAAGCCACAACCCGCUGAAGAGUUGGAGAAGGUACCUAUCUCAAAAGAUUAUCCUGGAUCGCAUGGUGAAGAUUGGCACCACCUUGUCACCACCCCAUUCGGUUGGCAUUGAUCUCUUUUUUGCAAAGAGAACACUGAAGGUCUUCGCCUGGUCAUACGAGGACAUGCCAGGCAUCUCUCCCGAUAUCAUCUGUCAUCGUUUGAGUAUUGACCCCAAGACCAAGCCAGUGAGACAGAAGUGAAGAUCUUAUGACGCUGAAUGGUACGAGGCAAUGAAGUCAGAGAAAGUUGAAAAACUCUCAAAAAGGCAUAGGCUUGUCCGCGAAGUCAAUUACCCGACAUGGGUAGCAAAUGUUGUCCUUGUUAAGAAAGAAUCCGACCAAAGGAAAGUCUUCUUGCUUCCAAAAGGUCUUGUGGAGAAGUGUGUGUUCGACUACACCGACCUAAACAAAGGAUGCCCAAAGAUAGCUUUCCUCUUCCUCUUCAUUAGACAGACUUAUAGACUCUACGGUAGGGUGUGAACUCCUGAGCUUCAUGGAUGCUUACUCAGGAUACAACCAAAUCCUCAUGAACCCUUCGGACCAAGAACACACAGCCUUCACUACUGACAAGGGACUAUAUUGCUAUAAAGUCAUGCCUUUCGGCCUAAAGAAUGCAGGAGCGACUUAUCAGAGACUGGUCAAUUCAAUGUUCGCUGAACAGAUUGGGAAGAGCAUGGAAGUUUACGUUGAUGAUAUGCUAGUCAAGAGCAAACAUGCUGACCAACACAUCACCAACCUAUCUGAAACUUUCACCAUUCUGAAGAGGUAUCGAAUGAGGUUGAACCCCAACAAAUGUGCCUUCGGCGUAGGCUGGCAAAUUCUUAGGCUUCAUGAUUAAGCCAACGAGGCAUUGAAGGCUAAUCCCUGAGAAGAUCAAAGCAAUCCUCGACAUGAAGGAACCAGUAACUUCAAAAAGACAUCCAGAGCCUUACUGGCAAGGUGGCAGCCUUCACUAGGUUCAUCUUUAAGGCCACAGACAGAUGUGCUCCUUUCUUCAAAGCACUUAAAGGAAGUAAGAAGUACAUUACAUGGACUGAUGAAUGUGCUGAGGCAUUCAAGAACCUUAAAGACUACAUGAGUAAAGCCUCUUUACUCUCCAAACCUGAGGUUGGUGACACUCUCAUUAUCUAUCUGUUGGUAUCGGCUUCAGCAGUAAGUUCCGUUCUCAUUCGAAAUGAUGGUAAUGUCGAACGACCUGUCUAUUACGCUAGCAAGGCCUUACAAGAUGCGGAGACACGAUACUCCAACAUUGAGAAAUUGGCUCUAGCAUUGGUCAUGUCUGCUCGAAAACUUUGCCCUUACUUCCAAGCACACUCCAUCAUCGUGCUUACCAAUCAUCAUCUUCGAUAGAUACUCCAAAGUCCUGACACUUCCGGGCAAAUGAUCAAAUGGGCAAUAGCAUUGGGUGAGUUUGACAUCUCCUAUCAACCAAAGUCAGCUGAGAAGGGCCAAGUAAUGGCAGACUUCAUCGCCGACUUCACAUAUCCUAUUGACAUUGUUUCUACACCUAAAGCAGUGGCUUCAUUACCCUCGGAAGCUCAGAAAAUAGAACCAACAACCCUAGCAUGGAGUCUAUAUGUUGAUGGCUCAUCCAACCAACAGGGUUGUGGAGCAGGACUAGUCCUUGACGACCCCUGACAAAGUGGCGAUGGAGUAUGCUCUUCGUUUCAAAUUCAAGGCAUCGAAACAAUGAGGCCGAAUAUGAAGCCCUUCUAGCAGGACUUACGUUUGGCCAAACACCUUAGGGUUAAACAAAUUGAUAUUCUUCAGUGACUCCCAAUUGGUGGUUAACCAGGUUCACCAACAACUUUGAUGCUAAGGACAGCUCCUAUGGCAGCAUAUCUUGGCACAAACACAACUUGUUGCUCAAGCACUUCCACUACCUAGAUCAUCCAAAUUCCUCGAGCGGCAAACAGUCAUGCAGACGCCCUUUGGCUCGCCUCGCCUCAGCUGUGGAAGACAAGAUUGGGAGAAAAAUUCAUGUCAAACUGUUGGCAAGCACCAAGCACCAUGGCCUGCAGAAGUGUGCAACUUACAAUAGGGGAGAUAGUUGGAUCACCCCGAUUUAUAGAUUUCCUUGCUCAUGGCACCCUUCCAAAUGAUAAAGUUCAAGCUAAGCAAGAUUCGAUACAAGUCUACCCUGCUACCUUGAUCAUUAAUGACCAACUCUACAAGCGAGGUUUUAACCUGCCAUACUUAAGAUGCCUUACGCCCGUAGAGGCGGAAACUGUUAUUUGGGAAAUACAUGAAGGAGUCUGCGGAGAUCAUGCUGGAUCUCGAUCCCUAGCAUACAAGGCUUUUCGCCAAGGAUAUUACUGGCCAACACUCCACUAAGACGACAUCAAAAUAUCUCGCUCAUGUGAUAAGUGUCAACGCUAUGCAACUAUUCUGUACUCCCCUCCCGAGCCGCUCACUCCUAUGAUCAACCCUUGACCCUUCGCUCAAUGGGGACUUGAUUGAUUGGCCCAAUGCCUGCAGGGAAGGGCAAGGUUCACUAUUGAAUCGUUGCAGUUGACUACUUCACAAAGUGGGUCGAAGGAGAACCCUUGGCAACCAUUACUGAGGCAAAAAUAGAAGACUUCGUAUGGAAGAACAUCCUUUGCAGAUUCGGCAUUCCCAAUGCGAUAGUCACUGACAAUGGGCGACAGUUCGACAACAAGAAGUUCAGGAUGUUCUGCUCUAAGUUCAACAUCAACUUAUGUUUUGCCUCUCCAGCUCAUCCCCAGUCUAAUGGACAAGUUGAGGCCAUCAACAAAAUAAUCAAGCGCACUUUGAAAACCAGCUUGGACAAAGGCUAAAGGCUGUUGGCCAGAAUUUGUACCCCAAGUUCUUUGGUCAUAUCGCACUUCAUAUCGGACUUCAACAGGAGAAAUCCCAUUCUCACUUGCCUUUGGCACAGAGGCGGUUGUCCCAGUUGAGCUUCGAGCAAGCAACGUUUCGAGUCCAGAACUACAUGUGCAAAGCAAAAAUGACAAACAACUUACCCUCAACUUGGAUUCUAGUCGAGGAACACAGAAACCAAGCUCACUUGAGGAAUGUCGCCUACAAGCAGCGCAUCUCCAACUAUUAUGACUCUAGGGUCAAACUUCGUUCUUUCAAAAGUGGGGGACUGGGUAUUGAAGAAAAGAUUACUCUGCGACAGAGUAUCAAGUGAAGGAACAUUUAAUCCAAACUGGGAUGGACCGUUUGAAGUCAGUUGGCAUCAGUCGCCCUGGCUCUUACACAGCUUAGAAGCUCCGAUGGCAAGACCCUUGGCCAUCCAUGGAACGCUGAUCACUUGAAGUACUAUUACAAAGUAAACUCACGAUUGUACAAGUGUUAAGCUUCAAGCCGUUCGGCAUCCUAUGUAACGAAGGCCUAUUUGGCAAUGAAUUCAAUAAAGAGGUGAUUUAGACAACUCGAUCCUAAUCCUCUUACAUUCCUAGCAAUGAAACAUUCGGGUUCAAUGCUUCAACAUGAAUGCUUCCAACAUGAAACAAAGUCUAAGUAUAUGUCAGCAAGACUAUACAAAUAAAUGAACAGUUUCACAGUAUAUUCGUUCAAUCAUUCAUUCCAACACAUUCAUACAUAAGCCAACUGUGCUUUGAAAGGGUUCAACAUAUUUUGUGUCAUUCGACACUUGCUACAAUGUGCCUAGACACCUUGCCCUUAUUCUCACCAACCAGGUGAUGAAAUGUACAACCUGUACUCUCCUUCAUGCCACCAACCAGGUGAAGAAGGAACUCAUCUUCAUGCCACCAACCAGGUGAUAAAAUGUACAACACAUACUCUCAUUCAUGCCACCAACCAGGUGAUGAAAUGUACAACCCGUACUCUCCUACAUGCCACCAACCAGGUGAUGAAAUGUACAAUCCAUACUCUAAUAUCAUUUUGCAACUUGCCACUCAUGCCACCAACCAGGUGAAGAAGGAACUCAUCUUCAUGCCACUAACCAGGUGAUGAAAUGUACAACUUGUACUCUAAUAUCAUUUGGCAACUUGCCAUUCAUGCCACCAACCAGGGGAAGAAGGAACUCAUCCUUGUGCCACCAACUAGGUGAUGACAUGUGAUGAAAGGUGAUGAAGGAACUCACCUUUGUACCACCAACCAAGUGAUGAAAGCAACUCACCAUUCAUUCCACCUACUAGAAGACGAGUGGUUCAACUUGUACAUGUGAACUCCUAGUAUUCACAAAUAAUCAAAAAUUCUCAAGCUUGACAACUCAACUAGGGGAGCACUUAUGCCCAACAAGAGUUAUACUCACCAAAAAAGUUUUAUUGUAAGCCAACAACAACUUCAGUGCAUGGCAUACGAAUAUCAAGCUAUUCAGCCCUCUUCCAUCUACUUCAGACAUUUCCUUUCGAUAACAAUGCAAACACUACAACUCGUAGAAAGCUUCACACACUCUUGAUCAAGACAGUGUGAAGCAAAACCAAUUUAUGGUGCCAACAAGAGCUUCAUCAAAGGAGUUCAACCACAAUUCUCAAAAGCUUCACACACUCUUGAUCAAGACAGUGUGAAGCAAAGCCAAUUUAUGGUGCCAACAAGAGCUUCAUCAAUGGAGGGCAACCACAAUUCUCAAAAGUUUCACAACUCUUGAUCAAGACAAUGUGAAGCAAAACCAAUUUAUGGUGCCAACAAGAGCUUCAUCAAUGGAUGGCAACCAUAAUUCUCAAAAGCUUCACACACUCUUGAUCAAGACAGUGUGAAGCAAAACCAAUUUAUGGUGCCAACAAGAGCUUCAUCAAAGGAGUUCAACCACAAUUCUCAAAAGCUUCACACACUCUUGAUCAAGACAGUGUGAAGCAAAACCAAUUUAUGGUGCCAACAAGAGCUUCAUCAAUGGAGGGCAACCACAAUUCUCAAAAGCUUCACACGCUCUUGAUCAAGACAGUAUGAAGCAAAACCAAUUUAUGGUGCCAACAAGAGCUUCAUCAAAGGAGUUCAACCACAAUUCUCAAAAGCUUCACACACUAUUGAUCAAGAUAGUGUGAAGCAAAACCAAUUUAUGGUGCCAACAAAAGCUUCAUCAAUGGAGGGCAACUACAAUUCUCAGACCUUCGAAGCAAAUUUAAUUUAUAUGGUUCAUCCAAACCUUUGACUACUACAAGGUGUGGCUUGCAUCACAAUCUCUUGCAUCACAAUCCCUUGCAUCCAAAGCUUCACCUACAAAGCUUCAACACAAAAGCUUCACCAACAAAAGCUUCAACAUAAAAGCUUCACCCAUAAAAGCUUCACCAACAAAAGCUUUAACUCCAUAGCUUCACCAACAAAAGCUUAAUCAAUGGAGGACAACUACAAAUUCUCAAAAGCUUCACACUAUCUUGAUCAAGAUAGUGUGAAGCAAAAUCAAUUCAUGGUACCUAACAAAAGCUUCAACUCCAAAGCUUCACCUACAAAGCUUCAACUCCAAAGCUUCACCUACAAUAGCUUCAACACAAAAGCUUCACCCACAAAAGCUUCAACUCUAAAGCUUCACUUACAAAAGCUUGACCCACAAAAGCUUCACCUGCAAAAGCUUGACCCACAAAAGCUUGACCUACAAAAGCUUCACCCACAAAAGCUUCACCUACAAAAGCUUGACCGACAAAAGCUUGACCCACAAAAGCUUCACCUACAAAGCUUCAACACAAAAGCUUCACCUACAAAAGCUUCACACUAUCUUGAUCAAGAUAGUGUGAAGCAAAAUCAAUUCAUGGUGCCCAACAAAGCUUCAACCUCAAAGCUUCACCUACAAAGCUUCAACACCAAAGCUUCACCUACAAAGCUUUAAAAUAUAUAUAUAUAUAUUUUUUUUCAGAAAUUUGAAAAUUCAAAAAUUCAAAAAUUCAAAAAUUCAAAAAUUCGGAAAUUCAAAAAUUCAAAAAUUCGAAAAAAAAAAUCGAAAAAAAAAAAUUGCCUAGGCCUCCUCUUCUUUGGGCCUAAAAACUUUCAUAACAAAUAUAUAUGAAGAAAGAGUUUUGGGCUACCACUUAGAAAGGAAAUGCCUUAUUCAUCAACUCCCUCGACCGGAGACUUAGGGGACUCCUACCAUAUGCUAUUGCACCUUUAUACUCGGAAGUCUCACGACCACUCAGUGACUUGGAUUUUUCAAGUCUCCAAACGAGAAGUUUUCCUCACUCGGGAAAUUAAGGGAGCACUACCUCAACCUACAUGCUUCACUCACAAAGCUUCAACAUACAAGCUUUAAUAAAAGGAAAAAUUCAAAGAACUUAGUGAAGAAGGCCUUGGUGUAUUUAACACAAUACGUUGAAAUGAAGCAAAGCUUGUUUAUUGAUAUCUUCGAUAAGUUACAAAUAUGUACAUACAUGAAUCAAAAUAAACAAACAAGAGGGAGCCUUCACAAAGGUUGCUCAGGAAAAGUCUUAGCAGUAGGCAGAGCCCCCGAAAGAGGAGGCACCAGAAGGUGAUUAUUUGAAGCCUCAGUACUAGGCAGAACCCCAAAAUGAGGAGGCAUCGAAGGUUGAUCAUUUAGAGCUUCACUACGCGGUACAGCCCCAGAAGACGAAGGUAAUAAAUGCCUUUGGAACAAACCCACAAACCUCUGAUGAUCAAGUAAAAUCUGACCAUUAGUUUCCUGCAGCUGGUCGAGCUUCCUCUUCAUGUUUGUAGCAUAGUCAUGUGCGAGCCUGUGCAACUGUUUAUUCUCAUGCUUGAGCCCUUUGAUCUCCUAUUUGAGACUUAUCACUUCAGCCGCCAAUGAUUCAACUUGGUGGGUUCGAGCAAAUAGGCGUUGGGCCAUAUUAGACACAGAACCUGCACACUGAACACUGAAAGCCAAAGAAUCCUUAACAGCCAAUUCAUCAGACCGUUGGAAAGUAGUCUGCUAUCUUUGGGAGUGAGAAGGUUCCUGGCCACCAUCGCAGCGGUCAUAUCAUUCUUUAUCAUAGAGUCCCCAACGGUAAGAUGACCAGUAGGGGAUAAGAAGGAUGGGCGCCAUAUGUUGUCUUGAGAAGGCAUGGCUGCCUCUUCACCAAAGUUGAAGUCAAAACGACGGUCGGAUGGGCCAGACAUUCUCAGAAAUGAUGAAUGAGAAAUGAGGUGCAAUAAAUCUCUGAAGUAAAGGGAAAAUUCCUACAAGCAAUAACUCUCUGAAUGAACUCCUUGCACACAAUUGGUGCCCUUAUAAAAGAUAGGGCAACAGGGCCAUUGGUUCAAAAAUCGAAGAGGCACCACUUUCCAGAUUCCGAAGAGGCACCACUCUUCGGAUUCCGAAGAGGCACCACUUUCCACAUGCAACAUUAGCUCCUCGGGUACCACAUAUAACUUUGCCAAAGAUCUCUGACAAAGUUUAGACACAUAAAUUUUGAAGGUCCAGCUACCCUGCUAUUACCCACAAGGGUAAAGGAACAACACCACUGCUUGAUAACUAAAAAGUCCUAAUGUGUGUUAACCUCCGUGCUCCGUGGCAAGGCAGACUGGCAAAUAUGCCCAACCUUUACUCACAUUCGAGAAAACACUCCUAACAAGAUUGCUUGCUCAAAAAUCGAAGAGGAACCACUAUUCGAAUCUCGAGAGCCAGACUCCCAACAGGAUUGCUUUCUCAAAAAUUGAAGAGGCACUGUUCUCUGAAUCUCGAGAGCCAGAUCCCUAACAGGAUUGCUUGUUCAAAAAUUGAAGAGGCACCGCUCUCUGAACUUCGAGAGCCAGAUUUCCUUGGAUAAAGCUUUUCUGCAAUCUUCACACGCAACAUCAGCUUUCCAGAUACCAUAGACCACUUUUUCAAAGCACUCUGACAAAGUUAAAACAUGUGAAGCUUGCAGCUCCCACUAUAUUGCUAUGACCAAGAAGGGUAAAGCAAUAGCAUUAUUACUUGCUCAAAAAUCGAAGAGGCACCACCCUCCGAAUCUCGAGAGCUAGGCUCCCAACAGGAUUACUUUCUCAAAAAUCGAAGACGCACCACUCUCCAAAUCUCAAGAGCCAGACUCCCAAUAGGAUUGCUUUCUAAAAAAUCGAAGAGGCACCGCUAUCCAAAUCUCAAGAGCCAGAUCCUCGACAGGAUUGCUUGUUCAAAAACCAAAGAGGCAUCGCUCUCCGAACUUCGAGAGCCAGAUUUCCUUGGAUAAAGCUUGUCUGCAAUCUUCACACGUAACAUCAGCUUUCUAGAUACCACAUACCACUUUUUCAAAAUGCUCUGACAAAGUUAAAACACGUGAAGCUUGCAGCUCCCACUACAUUGUUACAACCAAGAAGGGUAAAUGAAUAACAUUACUACUUGUUGUUAGGGAGACUUCUAUAUAUGUCGACCUCCAUCCUCCACGGACAGGCAGACCUGCAAAAAUGCUCAACCCUUGCUCAUAUCUGAGAGGGCAUCCCCAACGAAGCCUCUCGAAAUACUCAGCUUUCUUCUCCCCCAAUAAUACCUAUGCAAACCAGCCACACCAGAGCAAGAGUAUCUCAUAUCAUCAGGGUCAAAAGCAAGAGUAUUCCAUAUCAUGCUUUUUCCCUAUCUUUCCUUUGGCCUUGUUCUUACCUGCAAGAUAAGGAGAAAGAGAGCAAUCAGUCAUCACUUGGAAUUAAGCUUCUAGUCAGGAACUGAUUGCCUGGAACCUCUUACCUGAUUACUUACCUGGCAUUGCUCUCGAGUACUCAUCUUCAACAUCUUAUGCUUCCAGAAAAGACACCACAUCUGCCUGAGGAAUGGAUACUGCAAGUGAGAAGGAUAAAAGGAAGCAUGUGGAGACAAGCGCAACAGAACAUAUGCCGAUUCAUCUAUUACUUCGUCAACAGCAAAAGUAUCCCAUAUCAUCAAGGUCGAACGCACUCUUGAUUUGAUAGACUUGUUUUGACCUUCAAAUUCUUGAGUAGGCCUUAUACUCUGGAGGAAACCAAAAACCCUCCAGCCCAGUUCAAGAAAAAGCCCGUGGAAAGUUACUUUUUCAAAAACAAAAGUAUCUCAUAUCAUCUUCUCCAUUUGCUUCUCUUUAGCCUUGUUGCUGUUUACGACACAAAGAGAAUGAGAACAAUCAACCAGAAGCUGAAAUUGAACCUUCGAUCCAGGUUGCUUGCUUGGAAGUCUGAUUGCUUACCUUGUCUGUUACCUCUUUCAGCAAAUCUCCUAGCUCGGCGACUUGGGAGACUCCUACUAUAGGGUUUUGUAUCGCACCUUACCAAGCCCGAAACUACAAGUAAGCUUCAAGUGAAAUUGAUACAUUACCUUGUGCAUCUUCGUCGAUUACAAAUACCACCCCUGGAUGGAGGAAAAGUACUUCCAGAGAAGAUGCCACAUCUAUGUAUGAGACACAUAAGGCAAGUGAAUAUGAUACCACACUUCGGUACUUAGAAGUUUCAUGAUUACUCAAUGGCUUGGAUCUUGCAAGUCCCCAACCGAAGAGCUUCCCUCACUCGGGAACUUAGGGAAGCACUGUUUGUACCAUACUUGACCAAUCUCGAAACUACUGAGCACCGGUUAACAUUAUACCAUCAAGGACCCAGAAGAGUUUCCCUCUAACCAGGAGGCCAAUCACAGCGUGACACGUGUCGAUAUCAGAAGCCAAUCAUAGCGCGACACAUGUCAACAUCAGAAGCCAAUCAUAAUACGACACGUGUCAAUGUCAGAAUGAAACUAGGAGCUCUCUUCUAUAAAUAUAGAUCAUUCUCUCACAAUAUUUCCUAAUGUCAUUGGUACUAAAUCAUUCACUAGUACUCACUAAAGGAGAGCUUGAAACUAUGUACUUGUGUAAACCCUUCACAAUUAAUGAGAACUCCUCUACUCUGUGGACGUAGCCAAUUUGGGUGAACCACGUACAUCUUGUGUUUGCUUUCCUAUCCCUAUCCAUUUACAUACUUAUCCACACUAGUGACCGGAGCAAUCUAGCGAAGAUCACAAACAUAACAUUUUCUGUUGUACCAAAGUCCCCACUGAUUUUGUGCAUCAAUCCCGUCACUUAAUCAAUUCAUGAAUCAAAGAUGCACGAUUUUGACUUUUAACUAUGUUAAUCAAUCAAUGUGAUAACUUAUCAUUUCACAAAUUUAACUAAGGAACUCUAUAUACUUCCCUACGUGGAUUUUGAGUAAUAACAUGGUAUAUAAAUUCACAAGGCUAAAUGUGGGUAAUUCCCAUUCACUUGAAUCUAGGAUUCUAAGAUAACCUCAUGGAAAUGAGCAAGAGCAAGGAUUCCGAACCACUCAAUGGAACCAAAAUAUCUAGUGUUUCUCGUAGUCUAAAUCUAUCACAUGUAUAAUCAGUGCCCACAUCAAGGAAAUGGUGCACUGGCCAACCAGAACUCGGAUAAACUACGAAGCUCGGGUGAGUGACAAUAAUACAAGUAUGUGAUAUUCAAUAAAAGAAAGACCAUCGAUCACCGUUUAUAAACCUCGAAUAUAAAAUCGUAUUUUUACAAAAUCAUAGUUAAGUCACUGAAAACUCCGAAGGAGUCACCCAGACAUCCAACGGUUUUUCUAAUUCAAAUCAUAAGAUUCUCAAAAACCAUCUUUCAUAUAUACAUUAAAAAAUAGGGCUAGAUGGACGCAGUUCGGCUGAAGCCUACAUAAGUAACCAAACAAGAAGUGGCCCCCCCAAAGCGGAUUAACCAAGCAGAACACCCUUAAGAAAGCAACCAAGUAGGCAGUGACCCCCCAAUGCAUAUUAACCAAGCAGAGUCACUUCUACAACUAUUAGGAAGUGAUCACUCAAUGCGGAUUAACCAAGCAUGAUCACUCCUAAGCAUACAUAGCCAUAAAGAUUUCCCAACGCGGAUUAACCAAGCACGAUCCAUAUAUAGUAUGGUCCCCUAAUACGGAUUAACCAAGUAGGCCCACUAGUGAUCCCUCAAUGCGGAUUAACCAAGCAGGGUCAAGAUAAUUAGGUAGGUAGUGACCCCCCAAUGCGGAUUAACCAAGCAGAGUCACACCUACAUAAUUGUUAGGCAGUGAUCACCCAACGUGGAUUAACCAAGCAGAGUCACACCUACAGAACUGUUAGGCAGUGAUCACCUAACGCGGAUUAACCAAACAUGAUCACCCCUCAGUAUAAAUGGCCAUAAGGAUCGCCCAACACGGAUUAACCAAGCACGAUCCAUAUAUAGUAUGGUCCCCCAAUGUGGAUUAACCAAGCAUGACCACUAGUGACCCCCUAAUGUGGAUUAACCAAGCAGGGUCACAAUAUGCAAUUCGAAUCACUUUUCCACAAAUAUUACCAAUCCAUGAAUCAAAUCACAUUUAAUAAAAAUAGAUCGAUGGCCAAUUAUAAAAUAAUCACAUUUUAACAGAAAACACAUUUAUAAAAUCAAGUCAUAUCCACAAAGGAUAUUAAUAUAAAGAAUCGGGUAAUCACCAUAUCACAUAUAUUAAAGUCACUCACUGAGAUAAGCCAACAUAGCCUCACUAUGCCUCUAUUAAUACUAAUUUUAAAUUUAUAAACGAUUCGAGACAUGUUGACCAAAAGUCAACUCUCGAUCAACGGUGGGGCCCACAACCCUACGUAAUUUGAUCCGAUAGAUCCGCACAUCGGAUUUCAGAUCUGUAACUUCUUAAAAUUCAUAUUAUGCUUCUAGAACAACGUACUAAAAUUUCAUCCCAAUCCGACGGUCGGAUCUCCGCCAAUUGCUAGAAGUAGGUGCAGAUUAACAAUUUGUUUUACAAACUUAGAAAUCCAAUUCAAGAAGAUCCGUACAUCGGAUUCCCGAUCCGAUAGUUCCUAAUAUCCUCAAAUAUUAUGUUCUAUUUUGUAUGAAAGUUUGGAGAUGAUCCAACGGUCGGAUCAUCGAUUCAUAUUUUGAUCAAGUAAUGUAUCAUAGUGAAAUUAGGUUCAAACGAUCAAACCAUGUCAUACGAAUAUCAAAUACAAAUUCAGGAUAUCUAAUUGAACUUAGAACAGCAUCGUCAGCCCACUGGCCAAAACGCCAUCGCACUCGCCGCUGCCGAUGGCGGUCGGUUGCCCCGACUCGUCGGAAAAUUCAACAAUUUCCAAAAAUUAUCAAAUUUUACAUAAAUGUAGAUCUCAAUGAGUAGAGAAAGUUUUAUACCCAUGGCCAAGUCCAAUUUGGCCGGGAAAAGCUCCAAUUUCCCUUAAGCCCGCCGAAAACCCUAGAAAUUGGUGGCUUUGAUUUGUCACCUCCGGUGCUCCGCCACCCCUAUAGUUGUUUGGGAUUUGUUUCGGGUUUCAUGGAGAGUCUAAUGGUGGUGGUAAUUGAAUGAAAUUGUUUUAGAUUUGGUGGAUUUUGGCCAAGACUCUUCGCGGCACCCACGGUUCCCACGGCUUCGAUUCUUCACGAAAUCAAGGCUAAUCCUAGUGAAGUUUGGGUGAAAAUGGAAGAGGGAAGGAUGAUGGUCAGUUUGCAGGUGGUGGCAAGGUUGGGAUCGCCUGAAAACCGACGAAAAAGCAUCAGAAAUGUGGCGUAUGGGUCAGGUAUGAUGGGGUAUAUGGGUUAGCCCGUUUCCCCUUUUCUUCUUCCCUCAUUUCCUCUCCUUUCUUCUCUUUCUCAUUGGUCCUCCCUCCAACCUUUACUUCUGAUUGGCCGCAAAAGCACAUACCUCAUUGGGCUUUUUCCCUCAAAGUGAGAGUUUAAAUAAUUUCUAAAAUCUAUAGUUUAGUAACACAACUUCAAACGUCCGUAAAUAUACCGUUAUAAUCCGGACUCGCAAACGGUUUUUGCCUAUGCGUUCGUGGGUUCGAGAUUUAUUUGAAAAUAUAAAUUGUGACCUCCAAAGGUCUACGGAUUUUAAAUAAUUAAUUUUCAAACUUCAAACUUCGUAACUAGUUUAAUUAAAAUCUAAAUUCAAACAAAUUAAAAUAAAUUCUCGAGAAAUAAUAUAAAAUCUCAAUAAUACAAAUAUGUAGAUUAUAAUAGUGAAAUCCAAGAAUGGGAUUUCACAUCAAUAUUUUCAACAAUUUCAACCAAAGCUUUCAUAUACUUUUUUGUGCAAAAAAUGGCUACGUGGAAGGUCAUCGAAGAUGUUACGUUGUGUGAAUGCUGGGUUCAAAUUACUCAGGACCCGAUUAUGGGUAAUGACCAGUCACAAGAACUGUGGACUAGAAUUACUAAAGUUGUCACGCCCCGGGCCCAGGGUUAAUAGGAAAAAUCUCGAACCUGAAUACGACGUGCAAGCUAAAAAUAAAAUUAAAUAAAAGGAAAGUGAAACUAGGUGGAAAAUAUGAAAUUCAUGUUAUAACAAGAAAUUGAUAAUUCUUUACAAGACUAAAAUAAAUAAAUACAAAAUUCUAUCCUCACACUUAAUCCGAUAUCAACCCGUCUACCCUUUUUGACUGUUUAGUUCUUAAACCUGCAUAACAAUAUAGGGGUGAACUUCAACAGCUUAGUAGGGACAUAACCUUAUCACAAUAAUUGGCAAUAUUAAAUUAAGUGUCAUUAAAUCAUAUAGCCAAAUAUCAAAUCUUUAUUGCUAAUAAUGCAUGAAUGCAAUGCAACCUCUUCAAUUACCCUCGUUAAUUUAUAUAAUAAAACACGCGGGCCUGCAUGUUCCAUACCAUGCAUUUUACCCCUACAGAGGUGGUUUGAAUAUUCUAUUAUAGAAACUAACCCCCAUAUGAUAUCCCAAGUUCAUAAACCCCUUUUACUAGUCAUCUUAUCUAAUUCAUUGAUCUCCAGCCCAAAUCACCCACAUCGACAAUUCCCGUCAAUUUCCUAUUCUGCUGUGCACAUCGAGCUCGCCUGGAAUUGGUUUCACAAUAAAUAGAUUCAACUACACAAAAGAUCCUUUCGAACUACCCUCAUUUCCAUACUUCCAAUAUGAAUACUGAAAUUCCAACCACAUCAACAUGAACGAUGCACAAAUAAUGUCAUUUCAUCUUUCGUAUCAUAGUAUAUUCUCAACGAAUAACAUUCCAACAAUAAUUCCAUAACCAAUAACAAGUAAACACUCAAUUAAAUCAAUUAGCCAAAUAACAUCCAAUCACAUUAAACAACCAAAAUGAAUAUAGUAUUUCACGAAAUUUAAUAGAAUCAAUCUCUGUAAAGGUCUGCCUUAUUUCCCCUACUUGGAUUCCAAAGCAUUGCUCUGAUUCUCUACUACAAGAAUCUACCUUCAGCAACUCCUAUCCACAAGUGUAAGUGACAGACCCCGACCUAAAUCGAGGCAUGCUGGUAGUCACGUGAGGGUGACGUAGCCAUGUGCGCCGUGCGGAAGUGAAGGUGAUAAGAUAAUGUGGGUAAAUAAAAGCCAAACUAACUAACUUACACUAGACUAGUAUAUAAGUACGAGUGGAAGUGUCAUAGUGUAGAUACACAUAAUCAGAGCGUAGGUACCAACGUGCAGUCCAACAAGCUAAAUACUAAUUAUACAAGAUAUGAAAGAAACCCUACAUUGAUGGAAGUCUGUCAGAACCGCCGUAGAGUCCUCGUGAGCCACCAACACAAACUUUUAACUAAAACCUAGACGGGCGCAAAAGCAGAAAAUGUGAGUGGGCAAAAAUAAAACUUUUCAAAACCAUUUCACUUUCAAAACAUAUAACCCCUCACCGUAAAACCCAUAUAAUUUCCCAGAAAUUAACAGUACAUACACAUUUAGAAAUCAUACUUGAGAGUAGUGAAAACCAAGUAUAUGCCAUGUCAAGUGUCUCAACAAUGAAAUAAGUAAGCCACGUGAAAUAAAUCAAUAUAAAGUGAUAUGUCAGCUGAAGUCACCUAAUGUGACUUGUACGGCUAAGUUCAUAGCUCAUCAAUCAAAUCCUGCACAUGAGUCGGAACCACCUAAUAUGGUCUAUACGACAAGCUAUGCGAAAUAUUGCAAGUCACCUACAAGUCGACAGGCUUGUACCUGCCUUGGAUCCAAGGUGAGCGUGUGGUGUGGGAGGUGAACGAUCACGUGAAGGCUAGGCCCUGGCCUCGGGCAGAGCACUAACAUCGGGGUGCAGGAUAAUGAACACUAAAUGUAUCUCAACAUAAUCAUAUACACUACAAUCACUAUCAUCAAUGUGUACUCACUUGAAGCUUACAUGUGCGUUCGCAGCACCAUGCAAUAAUUUGCAUAUCUAUACUAAUGCAUAUACUAAAAUAUAAUGCAAUCAACAUGGAAUUUAAAACAAAAUUCCAUUUAAAACAAUUUCUGGGAAAAUGUAAAUCAUAUAUACGUAUAUAUAUAACCAAAAGCCCACUCACUGGUAUGUAGCUAGGUCGUAACCCUCGAGUCUCGCCUGGCUACGCUCGUCACUGGUAUGUAGCUACGUCAUCGAGAUCUGUCGCCGGCCUCCGCUGCGUCACCGGAAACUGGAAAUCCUUAAAAUCUUAGUUUCUACUUCAUUUCAACACCAAAAUUCACAAAUUUUAUAUUAAAUUGAAGCUCUCAACUAGGAGAACAUAAUCAUAUCUAUUUGGGGUCCUAAAACCGACGAGAAGUUGUCGGAAAAUUCUUCGAUAUUCUGACUAAGUCUGCAACUCGAUAAACCCGAGUGUCCCGACGUCCAAAACACUUCAAAAUGACUCCAAAGUGCUAGGGAAUCUAGAAGAGUACCUUCUUAAGCUGUUGGAAAUGUGCCCUAAAACCAAUCAUGUGAUGAUGCUUUACGGACAUUUCACAUGUUAAACCAAUCUAGUUUAAUAUAAAGGGCAAAGAUUAUUGUUUGAGCCGUCUCAUAUAAAUGUUAUAUGCUUAAACGAUAAAGUCCAAGGAAUAUGUGAUUGGGAGAAUGUAAUCUAAUGAAGUUAGAUUCAUGAGACCAUUCUUUCGUAGACACAUCCUAAAUGUUCCUGAUCAUAGGAUUGCCAAUUGGGCAUUGACAGUCCGUCAAGAUCGGUACGUGCUAUGUCUUCUCUGAGGGAGAGUGACUAGUCUCGAGUCAUUGGUGUGUGUGACAUCAAGACAAGUACGUAGGUGCUCAGUAAAGAAUGAGUUCACUGAACGCGAUCAACGAAGAGUUCUCAUACUCAUGUCACAUGAGAACUCAUGGUUGGGAUAAUGCAAAGUAGUCCUUUGACCUGAGGCAUCACAGUUGUCUUGUGGUUAAGUCCUUGAUCUUUGAUUAUGUCAAAGUCACCCCAUCGGGGUGUCCAUGGCAUCGUUGGGGUUAAGCCACUUAGCCAUGGAGGCAAGUGAAUGCGCAACAAGGGAUCUCUAACCUUCAAACUGUUUGAGGGAGAAUACUCUAUGAUAUGAUUUAGAAUCUCUGGCCAGAGUAUGAAUGAGAUUUAGAAAAGUCGUUCUAAAUCACAUUCAAGGUAAUCAUAUAAGCACACGAAUCACAUUGGAUAGUAGACAUGAAUAAAUAAACUAUCAAACCAAACAAUGUGGUCAAGAGUAUUGUAUUAGAGAAAGACCGUAUUGCAUUUGUAAUCCCAAACUGAAUAGGUUUUUCUCUACCUCUUCUGAUUAGCUUGGGUAACCAUGAUAUGCUGCAAGGUGUCACUCAUGUUUUGUGGAAGCCCUAAACGUGUGUAAUCACUAAAGGGAGAAUUGAAAGUAAGUUUCAAUUCACAAUCGAUGUAAAAUGGUUUUAAUCGCCCACUGCCUCGCUAAAAGGAACCUAAUGGAUCGCACACCGUGUAAGGAGGAGAUUGAAGAAACAAUGGAGAUGAGUAAGAAUGAUUAAAUGGUUUAAUCAUUUAUUUAUGGCAAGGAUUAAUUAAUAUGUUAAUUAAUCAAACGAAUAAGUUCGUUAAAGACCUCGGGAUAGUUUUGGACAUUAAGGCCCAAUGGGCUUCGAACGUCAAGCCCAUUGACUUAAGUUGUAUGACAACUUAAUGAAUAAUGAUUCACAAAGGCCUAAUUAGCCCAAAAAUACCCUAGGGCCGGCCAUGAUGCUAAGGGUAGUGAACUUGGACUUAUUUACAAGUUUGCCACUCAAAUGAAUAAAGGUAUAAAUAUGACUUUAUAGCCUAAAAUUCAUUAGGGUUUGUUUUGGAGAAAAUUGGUGAGAACUUGUCUCUCCAUUUCUCUCUAAAGAGGCCGGCCACCUUGGGGGGUGCAUCUUGCAAUCCCACUACUCCAAGGUCACUUAUUUCUUCUCCAAUCUCUCCUUGGUGAAGAGACUUAGAGGUUCUCAAUUUUGGGAACUUGGAGAAACCUAUUCAUCCAUCCAAAUCCAUAGAUUUAAGAUGCAAGGAAUGAAGGCCCUCUCUUUGGGUGAUUAGCCUUUGCUUAUGCAAAGAGGAAUCUACAAAGGUAUAAAUUUCAACUCACUUUGUUUUGAGUUGAGUUUUGGUUCACCAAUCUACUAGGCUUUGAAUUUCUUGGUUAAUGUUUUGUUUUUAAGUGCAUGCUAGCAUGAUUCCGCCUUUAAUUGUUAAUUGCAUGCUUAUUGAUGUUGCUUAAAUGAACAUGUUUCACAAAAUAUUCCUUCAUAAGCCUCAAAACCAAUUAAAUCACCCACGAUCACAUCGGAGCAGCAGAACUCCUCGCCGGAGCUCGAAAGUUCUCACGAUUCUGACGUCAUUCCAUCAAGCAAAGGGUAUGGUUAGGCUUGUAAGCUUGCAACGAACUCGAAGGUGGUCUCCAACAGCUCGAUCGGUGCUAGAUGAGGAUGGUUGGGUGCAUGGGUGUACGGAUGGUCCGGACUAGAGAGAUUUCGAGAAGGAUGAGAGAGGAAGAAAGGUUACUUGUGGGUGUGUGUGUGAUUCAGCUACGGGAUUGGCCAAAGGAAAAUAUCAAGGCUUCCUAUUUGGCAGCCAAGACAAGGAAGGAGAAAGGAAAACCCAAAUGGCCCAACAUCUACUUCAACCGAAUCCUAAUUGGCUCUAAGAAAACAGGAAUGAUCCCAAUUGGUCUAAAUUUUAUUUUCCUAUUUGAUUCAAUUGUAUUCUAACAUUCAUAACUUUUCUGUUACGAGCCCGAUUCGGCCCUAACUCGCAUCAAUGCUCUCGGGACGAAGAGUACAAUUUAAUUACGUCAGUAAGAAAAUAAUUUAAAAUUAUCUAUGUACAUCCGCAUCACAAGGCCAAUGAGGGCAAACUAGUCAUUUCCAUGCAUUCGAGGAUAAAAUAUAUAAUUAUUUGGGACUGGUCGUCACAACCUACCCCCCCUUAAUAAAAUUUCAUCCCAGAAAUUUCUGUAUGCUAGCAUACAACAUAUCAAUAUCCAUAAAACAAAUGUGGAUAUAAAUCUCGCAUACGAUCCUCCGUCUCCCAAGUAGCCCUUUCUACUGAAUGGUUCCUCCACAAAACCUUCCCCAUGCACACAGUUUUAUUCCUAAGAACCUUAUCCUUCCAGUCCAUGAUCAUCAUUGGUUCCUCAUCAUAUGUCAAGUCUGGAUUAAUUUCUAAUGGCUGAGGAGGUAUCACGUGUGAUGGAUCAAAGACAUAAUGACGAAGCAUAGAAACAUGAAAGACAUCGUGCACCCUUGACAAUUCCGGAGAUAACUCAAGUUUAUAGGCAACUUCACCGAUUUGUUCGGUGAUCUGGUACGGUCCUAUAUAGCGAGGACUUAACUUACCUUUCUUACCAAACCGUACUAUGCCCUUCCACGGAGAUAACUUCAAACAUACCCAGUCUCCAACUUUAUAUACCCUGUCAGUGGUGUGUUUAUCAGCAAGGUUCUUCUGUCGAUCUUGGGCUGCUUUCAGGUUAACUUUAAUUACCUAAAUAUUUUGAGUAGUCUUAUCAACAAUCUCUGGGCCCACUAACACCCUCUCACCAGUUUCUGACCAGUAUAGAGGAGUACGACAGGAUUUACCAUAGAGUGCCUCGAAAGGUGACAUACCAAUACUAGAAUGGUAACUGUUAUUGUAGGCAAACUCCAUCAAAUCUAAACAUUUAUGCCAAGCAUCGCCAAACUGUAGCACUGAAGGUCUUAACAUAUCUUCUAAUGUCUGGAUGGUUCUCUCAGAUUGCUCGUUUAUCUAUGGAUGAUACGCCGUACUAUAAUGCAAUCUUGAACCAUGAGCUUCCUGAAAUGCCAUCCAAAACUUAGAAGUGAACCUAGGAUCCCGGUCAAAAAUAAUACUAACCGAAACCCCGUGGUAUUUAACAAUCUCUGCUAUAUAUGACUCAGCUAAUCGUCUUAAAUAAUAGUUCUCUCGAACUGGUAUAAAGUGUGAUGAUUUAGUAAGCCGAUCCACUAUUACCCAGAUGCCAUAGUAACCAUUUCGCGUACGAGGAAGCUUGUAAUUUCUGCUAGGGAACAGCAAGUGGCUACAUCAAUCCAAAAGGCUUCUUCCUCUCAGCUUUAACCUGCUGACGAAUCGCACGUCGACUCACAUAGUCAACAAUCUUUCUUUUCAUACCAGACCAAUAGUAGAAGGUCGAAUAGUGUGAUACAUCUUGGUACUCCCAGGAUGCAUCGCAUAAGCCGAUAUGUGAGCCUCAUCAAGAAUAUCUUUCUUUAAUUCUGCAAUAUUCAGCAUGUACAUCCGGCUUCCCUACAUAAGCAUGCCAUCAAAUUCCCGAAUUCGGAGAUCUUUCUUUUUCCCUCGUGACAUUGCCUCUGCUAAUUCUUGGGAUUCAUCAUCCUCCGCUUGAGAUUAAAAUCGGUCUAACAUGGGAACUAGCAAGUAAAGCUUAUUCCUGAUCUAUCACUCCCAAAUUAACUCCAGUAGAUCUCAAUUUUGUGAGGAGAGGGAUAUAGCAAGCAUAUAAAACAUUAAUACGACCAGGAUGAUACUCAAUCGUGCAAACAUUUGCACGACCAGGAUGAUACUCAAUCGUGCAAACAUAAUCACUGAGUAAUUCUAUCCAUCUUUGUUGUCGAAGGUUAAGAUUUUUCUGGGUGAAUAGGUACUGGAGGCUUUUUAUGAUCUGUGAAAAUUUUACACUUUUCUCCAUAUAAGUAAUGUCUCCAAAUCUUCAAGGCAAAAAUGAUGGCUGCUAGCUCGAGAUCAUGGGUAGGGUAGUUCAUCUCGUGUGGCUUCAACUGUUACGAGGCACAUGCAAUCACCCUACCAUGCUACAUUAAUACCCAACCUAAGCCAUUUAAGAAAGCAUCACUGUAAAUCUCAAAAUUACCACCGUCGUCUAGAAGUGUCAAAACAUGUGCGUGAGUGAAACAAUACUUUAGCUGCUAGAAACUUCAUUCAUAAUCAUUGUCCCACUCGAAUCUAGUAUAUUUUCUAGUCAACCUCGUCAGUGGUAAAGCUAUGGUUGAAAAAUCUUUAACAAACCGUCGAUAAUAACCUGCUAAGCCCAUAAAACUUCGUACCUCAAUAACGGUUCGCGGCUGCUCCCAGUUUUCAACUGCAGCUAUUUUCUGUGGGUUCACCUGAAUACCCUGGGCUGAUAUUACAUGCCCUAAGAAUGCCACUUGAUCUAACCUAAACUGGUAUUUGCUGAAUUUAGCAUAUAAUUGGUGCUCUCUCAAUUUCUUUAAAACCAAAGUGAGAUGUCGAGUAUGUUCUGCCUUAGACUUAAAAUACACCAAAAUAUCAUCAAUAAGGACAAUAACAAACCUGUCCAGGUAUGGCCUAAAUACUCAAUUCAUUGGGUCCAUAAAAGAUGUGGGUGUAUUCGUUAAUCCGAAUGGCAUCACGAGGAAUUCGUAAUGAUCAUAUCAAGUCCUGAAAGCUGUCUUAGGAACAUCUUCACUUUUGAUCUUCAAUUGAUAAUACUCGGACCUCAAAUCAAUCUUAGUCAAAUAAAUCAUCUAUACGUGGCAAUGGAUAACGGUUUUUAGUUGUUACCUGAUUCAACUGUUGAUAGUCAAUACAUAGCCUCAAGGUUCCGUCUUUCUUCUGUACAAAUAAUACUGGAACUCCCCAGGGUGAAGUACUAGGCUGAAUGAAGCCCUUAUCAACUAAUUCUUGCAACUGGGUUUUCAAUUCCCUCAACUCAGCGGGAGCCAUUCGAUAAGGGGUUAAGGAAAUAAGAUCUUUACCUGGAAGUAAAUCAAUAAUGAACUCUACUUCUCUAUCUGGUGCUAAUCCAGGUAAAUCGUCAAGGACAACAUUAAGGAAAUGCCUAACUACUCGAACAUCCUCCACACGGAUAGGAGUAUCCUCAUUCAAUACCACGUGAGCCAAAUAACCCUGAUAACCUUUCUUCAAUAGCCGCUUGGCCCUCAUGGCAGAAAUGAUGCCAUGCUUCAAUCCAUUACUUACACCCACAAAUGUAACCACAGGCAAGCCCGACCGAUGAAAAGUGAAUGUCUUCUCAUAACAAUCCAUAUUGGCACGAUUGUAGUGUAACUAAUCCAUGCCUAGAAUAACAUCGAAAUCAACAAUAUUUAAUGGAAUAAGAUUAGCUGGCAUAACGAUGCCCUCCACCAGAACAGGACAUCCUUGAUAUACCCAGCUAACAUAACAUGUCUCACCUAUAGGCAUCAAAAACUCUAACUCAUAACUGAGAGGUGUGGGGUAGGUUUGCAUCGUCUAAAUAAACGUAUGAGAAAUAAUAAAGUGUGUGGCACUAGAAUCAAUUAAUACCCUAGCAAAAUGGCUAAGAAUAUUUAACAUACCCAUAAUUAGAUCUGGGUUGUUCUAAGCAUCCUGCAAGGUGAUAUGGUGAACACGGCCAUGUGGCUGCUGCCGUCCUCCACGACCCCUAUUACCUUGAUUUCCACGUCCCUAUGUACCUCGUCUUUGACCAGGCUGGUUAGGCUGCGUCGAUGAUCCUGCAGUACUAGAAGCAACCCCAACGAUCUGAGACUGCCUUCCGGGAUACCAUUGUGAUCCACCAGUUAUAUACGACAAAUAUGGUGGGUAACCUCUUGAGUACUGAGCAUAACCACUCUGAUGAUGCAAAUCAUGCGAGUACUGAUAUUGUCUUCCUAAACAUGGAGCUAUAUCACCCUAAUUAUGAUACGGUCUACCAUAACCCGUCUGGUAUAACCACUAGGCUCGGGAAUCUGCUGAAUAGGAACUAGUGGCGGUAAAGCGGAUGGUUGGGGCUUCUGCUGGCUCUGUGGGCAUUGAACAGCCCGGUGUCUCGUCUGACCACAAACAAAACAUCCUCUGUUACCUUGCUUACACACCUCAAAGUGUCGACUAUUACACCUGCGACAAAAUGGACCACCAUAACCACUAAAACCUCUCUGUCCCUGGAAGUGAGAACCACCUGAACGGCCACCCCUCUGUGACGCCGUGGAAUUCGAACACCCACUAGAAGAACCAGAACUAGUACCACUUCUCUUAAAACUCUACGUUUUACGAGAUCCCUAUGAGGACUGGCCUUUAUCUUUAUUAUUGUUUUUCUUCUGAUUAUUGUCUUUUUCUUCCUCUUCCUCACUGUCACUGGGCAUGUUUUAAGAAUCCUCAACCCACAGUAGAAUCUCAUAAAAACUCCUGAUAUGUAGAGCAGGGAGUCGUGGUCACCAUAGAACGCCACUUCUUUUGAGUACCCCACUUAAAUCGUCGAAGCAUCUGAGUAAUCUCCGGACAAUAUCGAGAUAAAUUAGUGAACUUUCUACAGUACUCAUUAGCUGACAUUUUCCCUUGCUUUAGACGCAUGAAUUCUUGCUUCUUACGAUCUAUAUACUCUAGGGUGAUAGACGCAUAUUUAUGCGACUUAGUUAACUAGUUUUCUUGCAUUUACGUUAUUAGUUCUUAGUUAUUUUAGUACUUUAAGCCAUUUUCGUGUGUUUGUAGGUCCAAAGGGCUAAGGUAGCAAGAAAGUGCAUUUUGGUGCAUUUUGGAGCAGUUUUGAGCUUGGAAUGGAUUACAUAUGAUAUGAGCAAGAUGGAUGGACGAAUUUGAAGAAAAAAGAGGCUAAGAACAUGCUAAAAAUCUGGUGAAACAAAUACAAGUUGCAAGAAGGGAUAAAUUUCUAGAAGGAUUGGCCAAAACUUCACUCAAAACACAUCAAUGCCGUGGCUUUUACUUCCACCUCCACCAGAAAUUUGAGUAAUGAUGCAAUGCUUAACUCACCAUGACAUGUGAGUGGAUGAUGCAAUGCUUAGCUCACCAUGACAUGUGAGUGGAUGAUGCAAUGCUUAGCUAACCAUGACAUGUGAGUGGAUGACUCAAUACCUAACCCACCAACAAUUCCCACUCUUUGCCAUGCUCACCUACUCAAUUCCACCAACAUUUUGUGUUAAACAAGUCCAUCCUCUUCCUAUAAAUACCAUGGCAUCAACCUCAUUCAAAUCAUCCAGAAAUUAACCAUUCUCCAAGCCUUUCCUUGCCUCUCCUACAUAUCUAAACCCCUUCCCAUCCAUUCCUCCAAAUAACCAACCCUUCAACAUCAUUCCAACCUUGUUGUUGCGGCAAAGAGAAGGAGAAAAAGUCCUUAGACGCACUUGCUAUCCAACAUGGAUCGUUGGAACGUUUAGGUGCUUUCUUUCCUUUGUUUUUUCAAUGUUUAAAUUUGUUUAUCUUUGUUUUGUAAUAAUGAGGAACUAAACCCCCCUUGGCUAGGGGGGAUUCGAAACCAUGUUAAUGCUUGCAAUAUGAUUUGAUUACUUUUUAAUUGCGUUUCAUAAGUUAUGAAUUCGAUUUACUUAUCUAUUUGAUUGAUAACAUGUUUAUGUAUGUUGAUUAGGGAUGCAUACUUAGUUUGCAUGCAUAAAUAUGAUGCUAGAGUAUAAGGGAAUUUCACCUAAUCGUUAUGAAACUUAUAUUCAUGAGUAGUAAAAGUCGCUAGUCACGAUUGUGUUAAGUAAAUUCCUUGGCAUAAGUUUCAUGCAAAUCAUAGUAACGAGUGCCUCGUCAAUGCUUAUGUUUUUCAUAGAACUUAAUGAUUCUUGCUUGUAUCUCUAUUAUGCAAUUCAUGUAGGGAACUUGUAGGGAAUGUUUUGGGUUGUCGUAUGCAAUCAUCCAACCCAAUAACUUAUGGAAAAACUGAGGGUUAAUUAGUGCAAUUCACGGUUAAUUUGGGGCGUUGAGAAUUAAUAAGUUAUUGAAAUGCAAUUGGAAAUCAUUUUGUAUGCAAGCAAGACAUGUGUGGAGAAGAACCCCUUAGCUAGCCUUCCAUUAUCCAUUCAACCCAAAUUUGUUUAAAAUCUAUUUAAGUUUUUAGUUUAUUCGUUUUUACUUUCAACUUCACCAAACUCAAAUCCCCCUUUUACUUUCUUGUUUUAAAAUCUUUUGUUUACAUUUUUAACUUUGUUUUUAUGUUUUUAAAUUAGUUUUCAAGUGAUUUAGCAAUCCCUCCUAAUCCCCGGCCUAGAACGAUACCCUACUUACAUCUAUACUACAAUUGUCAAAAAGAGGGUUUAAUUUGUGUGCUUAUAUAUUUCGCAUCAUAGGGCCACAAAUCUCUUCUGGAAUAACUACUUAAAAAUCUCUCAAUUGGCGGCUUCCUCUGGUGACAACUGAAAAGAUUCCCGCCUCCACCAGGACGCAGCCUCCUUACCUAAAAACCAAAUAGUCGUUUCAACCCAUCUAUCUUCAGGGAAGUUACCCUGCUUCUGCGUCACUCGAUAAGUUUUCUCGACAUGAAUAAGCCACCGCUCAGCUCCAUUGGGCCCCUUAGUACCAACAAAGUUAUUCAACUUUAGGUUAUAAACAAUCUCCAAGGGAGUUCUCCGGGGAGGACGAAGUGAGGACUGGAUAGCACUAGCAAUAGCCUCCCCAAGUUGGGUAAUAUUCUGAAAAUUAGACUCAGAAGAAAUACGUGGCUCUCUACAAGGUGGCAUGGUUCUGACAUAAGACAUCAAAAUAAUUAGAAUACUUACAAAAAUAUGCAGGACAACCAAACCUAGCUUUGAUAUAAAGCUGACACACCUCGACCUAAAUCGAGGCAUGUUGUCCGUUACGUGAGGGUGACGUAGCCAUAUGCGCCGUGCAGAAGUGAAGAUGAUAAGAUAAUGUGGGUAAAUAAAAACCAAACUAACUAACUUACACUAAACUAGUAUAUAAGUAUGAGUGGAAGUGUUAGAGUGUAGAUACACAUAAUCAGAGCAUAGGUACCAACGUACAGUCCAACAUGCUAAAUACUAAUUAUACAGGAUAUGAAAGAAACCCAACAUUGAUGGAAGUUUGUAAGAACCGCCGUAGAGUCCUCGUGAGCCACUAACAUGAACUUCUAACUAAAACCUGGAGGGGAAAAUGUGAGUGGGCGAAAAUAAAACUUUUCUAAACCAUUUCACUUUCAAAACAUAUAACCCCUCACUGUAAAACCCGUAUAAUUUGCCAGAAAUUAACACUACAUAAGUAUUUAGAAAUCAUACUCAAGAGUAGUGAAAACCAAGUAUAUGCCAUGUCAAGUGUCUUAGCAAUGAAAUAAGUAAAUCAGGUGAAAUAAAUCAAUAAAGUGAUAUGUCAACCAGAGUCACCUAAUGUGACCUAUACGGCUGAGUUUAUAGCUCAUCAAUCAAAUCCUGCACAUGAGUCGGAACCACCUAAUUUGGUCUGUACGACAGGCUGGGUGUAAAUAAAUACGCUCAAGUGCUACGUUCACGUGAAGGCUGUGUGACAUAUCGCAAGUCACCUACGAGUCAGAAACACCUAGUGUGGUCUGUACGACAGGUUGGCACCUGCCUUGGAUCCAAGGUGAGUGUGUGGUGCAGGAGGUGAACGAUCACGUGAAGGCUAGGCCCUGGCCUUUGGUGGAGCACUAACACCGGGGUGCAGGAUAAUGAACACUUAAUGUAUCUCAGCAUAAUCAUAUACAAUGCAAUCACUAUCAUCAAUAUGUACUCACCUGAAGCUUACCUGUGUGUCCACAGCACCAUGUAAUAAUAUGCAUAUAUAUAUAUAUUAAUGCAUAUACUAAAAUAUAAUGCAAUCGACAUGGCUUUUAAAACAUAAUUUCAUUUGAAACAAUUUAUGGGAAAAUGUAAAUCAUAUAUAUGUGUCUAUACAUAUAUAUACAGAGAGCUUAAGGGGAGGGAUCCCCAUUUUUUGAAAAAAAUGGGGAUUAGGUGUGGGGCCCACUUCACAUCUAAUUUCAAUGAUCCGAACUGUCUAUUUUGUUAGUUUCGAUUCAUAGAUCAUCCUUGCAAAAUAUUAGCUAAAUUGGAAAUGUUUAAGACAUCUAAUUGGGUUCAAGGAAAUGAACGAAUACUUUGUUAUAUAAGAAAAUAUGAAAUUUGAUAUUGCUAAUUAAAUAGGCAAAUGGUUUCGGAUUGAAUUGAAUUUUUGCAAGGAUGAUCUAUGAAUCGAGACUAACAAAAUAGACGGUUCGGAUCGUUGAAAUUUGAUGUGAAGUGGGCCCCACACCUAAUCCCCAUUUUUUUUCAAAAAAUGGGGAUCCCUCCCCUUAAGCUCUCUGUGUAUAUAUAUAUGUAUAUAACCAAAAGCCCACUCACUGGUAUGUAGCUGGGUCGUAACCCCCGAGUCUCGCUUGGCUACACUCGUCUUCCGGGAACAUCUUGCCUAUAUGUGAAACCACUAAUUUAACAUUAAUUUAAGCACAUAAUCAAAAUAGUAUAAUAACUUCUCAUACGUUGCUCAAUUGGGGUGUUUGAAUGAACCAUCGUGGCCUACUCAACACCACGAGCAUCCCUAUAUUUUUAGAAUAAUUUUUUGACAUCCCACGUCCCCUCAUGCGCCGGCCAAGGCACGGCCACACGCGCCGGCCACACGUAGGCAUGUGCCUAGUACACGGACUGAAUCCCUAACGGCGUGAGGGAAUAUUUCGUUAAAUAGUAGUAUAUACCGUUAACUUUACCUGAAGCGUUAGCAUAUUCCAUCAAAGUUGACGGAAUAUGCUCCUUUCUUCUCCGGCACGUCGCCGGGAUCUGUCUCCAGCAGCUGCUGCGUCACCGGAAACUGGAAAUCCUUAAAAUCUUAGUUUCUACUUCAUUUCAUCACCAAAAUUCACAAAUUUUAUAUGAAAUUGAAGCUCUCAACUAGGAGAACAUAAUCAUACCUAUUUGGGGUCCUAAAACUGACGUGAAGUUGUUCGAAAAUUCUUCGAUAUUCCGGCUAAGUCUGCAACUCGAUAAACCCGAGUGUCCAGAUAUCCAAAACACUUCAAAAUGACUCCAAAGUGCUAGGGAAACUAGAAGAGUACAUUCUUAAACCUCAAAACCAAUUAAAUCACCCACGAUCACAUCGGAGCAACAUAACUCGUCGUCGGAGCUCGAAAGUUCUCACGAUUUCGACAUCCUUCCAUCAAGCAAAGGGUAUGGUUAGACUCGUGAGCUUGCAACGAACUCGAAGGUGGUCUCCAACAGCUCGAUCUGUGCUAGAUGAAGAUGGUUGGGUGCAUGGGUGUACGGACGGUACGGACUAGAGAGAUUUCGAGAAGGAUGAGAGAGGAAGAAAGGUUACGUGUGGGUGUGUGUGCGUGUGUGAUUCAGCUACAGGAUUGGCCAAAGGAAAAUAUCAAGGCUCCCUACUGGGUAGCCGUGAGAGGGAAGGAGAAAGGAAAACCCAAAUGGCCCAACAUCUACUUCAACCCUAUCCUAAUUGGGCUCCAAGAAAACAGGAAUGAUCCCAAUUGGUCUAAAUUUUAUUUUCCUAUUUGAUUCAAUUGUUUUCUAACAUUUGUAACUUUUCCGUUACGAGCUCGAUUCAGCCCUAACUCACGUCAAUGCUCUCGGGAUGUCGAGUACAAUUUAAAAGUCAUUUGGUUAAUUUAUAAUAGCAUGGUCAUCAGUGAAGGAACUUUUGAACUAGAAUACUUUUAUAAAGUAAGCAUAAGUAUAGUUCAAAAUAUAUAAGUACAUUAACAGACUUCAGCCAAGCUAUAUAUUAGAUAAAAGCACCAAUCCGUUAGUAUUAUGAAUGAUAUGUAAAAGUUCGUAUAUUAAACUCUUUGUAUUAUGCAAUAGAAUGCUUCAUUUCAAAUAGCAUAAAAGUAUGGUUGUUGUUUUGGGAAAAUAGAAAUCUCCAACCGAAUUCCAUUUGUCAAACCAAUUUAUAAAAGAUAGUAUCCCAAGAACUGGUAAACUGAUAUAAUUUGUGCAGCCUUUUGAAUAUCAACUUUUACAACAAAAUAUAUAUAGCCAAUAGGAAACAAUACCCAAAUAAGCACACCAGUUCUUACGUGCCAAAAUAGGGUUUAAGCGUAUGCAUAUUUUGGUUGUUCAUAUAAAACUGGUUUUGCAUAAAUAAACACACUUGCAUACGAAGAUUGCAUAUAAACUAGUUUUGGAUAACAGUAGCGAAUCCAAGACAACAAUAAGCAAGUCAACAACUAUGGAGAGGGAAUAAAUGAAGUACGGAAAUCGUUUACCCAUACACAACGAGAUACAGGUUGAGUCGAAUGGACUCCACAGCCCUCUCUCAGUUCCGGUUUCAGGUUUAUCUCUCCCUCUCUCUCUCUCUCUCUCUCUCACCACUUUCUCUGGUCCUUAAUCGGUACGCGGACUGCACCGCUACAGCCCUGGGUUUCUAUUUAUAGCUAUACAAAGUUGGCUAAUUCUUCGAUAGGAUUGAUGUAAAUGCCCCUUAAUUGGCUAUGGUUUUGGUCCAAUUAGAAUAGAACAAACAGCUUAAUAAAAUAAUGUAAAAGUGAAGAAAAUGAAUAAUAUGAAUAUAUAGUUCAAAUACUACCGUAAUGGUGUUCUGAACUUAUUUGGUUCAAAAUAAUAGUAAAUUAGAGUGUAAAAAAUGAAAUAAAGGAAUUAACGAUUAAAUAAGAAGUAAUACAAAACUUUCUGAAAUUAAUAAGUAUAUACAACACAUAAUUAUAUGUAAUUAUUUUUGAAAAUACAGGUCCUUACAAUCUACACUCAAAAAUUUUGUCCUUGAAAUUUGUAAGACCUUUCUCAAUAUAUAAUAGUAGUUGAAGAAAACUAAGAGAAUAUCCAACCAUAAUGGUUGCAUAGAGAUUACCCUUCCGUUUCAGGUGGAUUGUAAUUCUCUAUGUAUUUUGCCUUCCAACUCGAGCAGUUAUUCCCUUUACAUAUAGUUUUAUGCUUGAAAAAUAAUUCACUGAAUAAUGAAAAUAGCAAUAUACGAAAACAUAUAUUUUCUUUUCUAGUAAUAACACCAAGUAGCUUGACCUUCAAAUAAAAUCAUAGGUCAUAUCCUUUUUCUUUUUCGAAAUGAAAAAAUGAAAAUGAAACACAAUAUUCAUAUUUGAAACGAAAUCGUUUUCUUCUGUACUAACAAAAUUAUUUUCAAAAACCAAUUACUCACACAAUUAUCACGAAACCAAAAGCUCAAUCCCAAAGCUCAACUUAGAAUCCCAACACUAGUUGCCUCUAAUAUCAAUCUAAGGAAAAACAUUGGUACUUAACAAGCGGUCUAACCAAACCUCAACACCACUAAUUGGAUUUGAGUGAAUCCAUUUCCUUGAUCUAAAUGUAGUCUCCAAACGAAAUCUACUUCAAGUAGUAUCCCUAAUGGAUUCCUAGUAUAACAACAUUCAGAAAUGUGACCCAUCACUCAGCUCCACUAUUUAAUUCUUUUGUUCUCACCACACGACAUUCGUGACUUCGUUUUCCUCAUCAUAUAGCCUAAAGCUAUAUAGGAGUGAGGAUUAGUAGUCUCAUCACACAACUGUAAGUCAUGUAGGAAUGAAGUUCUUUGUCAAAUUCAUCACAUAGCCCAAAGCUAUGUAGGAAUGAAAUUUAUCAAACUUAUCACACAACCAAUAAUUGUGUAGGAAUAAAGUUCAAUAGAUUCAUCACACAACUAGAAGUUGUGUAGGAAUGAAAUAUAAUAUACUCAUCACACAAUCCAAAAUUGUGUAGGAAUGACAUUUAAGUAGUUCAUCAUACAACCCCAAUUGUAUAGGAAUGAAUCACCAUGUAUAUAAUACCAACUCGUGUAGGAAUGAGAAUAUCACUUAACCAUUACCUUUCCGAUUAUGAGUGAGUCACAUGUGAGGUUUCCUCUCCUAAACAUGAUCGAACUAAUAAAUACUUCAGUAAAUCAAAACCUUAAUUUUAAACUCCUGUCUAAGAGAGUCUCUUACAUCAAAGUUCUAAGACAUUCCCCAUCUUAUAAAUUUAGGACGGUUCCCAACUAAGUCUGUUCUGAAAGAGAUGUGGUGUUUGCAAAACUAUGCAAACAUAGAAUAACUCCAGUCAUCUAAUGGACCCUAACAGAAGCUUGUGCUCCAAUCACCACCAUAGAAUUAAUCCAUGAAAAUUCAAUGAAUAACAUGGAUCACAUGUGAAUUUGUUUCUUCUCCGAAACUUUAUCGAAUAAAUGACUACUUCCAGUAGUCCAAACUUUGAAUUUGAACCUACGUUUAAGAGAGUCACUUGUAUCUCAGAUAACCUUUGACUCUCAAUUCUACAACAAUCUUCAACCAAAAACUUCAAGAUAGUCCAUGACUAAAGGUUUCUCAUAAGAGAGGUGAUGUUUGCUAACCAAGAAAAUAGAUUAGUACGAGUAUUCAUACACUUUAUCUCAAGUAUGGCUUAGUUGGUAACUACCACCAUAGGAUUCCUGAGAUCAUUGAACACCAUGCACUACCUAAAGACAAUGAUGAUUGGUAAUCUCGUACUCCAGCUAAUUGGUUGAAUCCCAACGAACUAACAUGACGGAAACAAUGGUAAUCAACCAGUGAAAUGAAGUACAGCACUCAAUUCAAAAGUGAUUUUGGUUAAUCUAAAACAACAUACUCAUAACAAAAAGAACAUUACUAUAGAAAUGCCUCUAAUGAAACACAUGUAUAUAUACGUACAUGCAUAUUUAUGUAUAUCCAACAUAUUUCCAGCACUAAAUACAUACUUUACUUCAUACAUAAUUACCAUGUAUAGCAUAAGGGUAUGUAGCUUGAUAACUAACAUGGAAGCUCACAAAUCCAUGACAGAUAAACCAUUAAAUAAAAUUAAAAGCAACAUGAUGGAUGGACAUGAAAAUAGCUAUAGAAAAUGUAAGGGAAAACUGGGGAUAUAUCAUAAAUUUAUCAAGGGUAUUAUGUCAAAUAGAUUUUCUUUUUAAAAUGAAUCGGUUGGUACAUCAACUGAUAUCACACAGCCCCUUCAGCUUUCGUAUGAAAACGGCCAAUACAAAUAUGCAGUGCAUAAAACCAAAUGGAUUAAGAUGUGGAAAGAAACAUAUUAAGAAAGUCAUAGUAUAGCCACUAACUAAAUACAGGGGAUAUGAAAAUAAUUACUAAAGCUUUGUGAGCUACAGGUUUACUACAUUUGUAUUCGUGAUUGUUUUAUGAUUUAGACGCCAUAUAUUUCGAUGAAACCUCUCUCUCUGUUUCUGAGUUUAGUAUGCAGUUGAAACCCUGGUCUUUAUUUAUACUAGGGGAAAUGCGAGAGUGGAAUGGAUAGACUUACCAGAACGGAAUAAGAUCUUUCCUACUAAAAGCAACGUGUAAAGCCAAAUCGCUUUGGGUUUAGUGGUGUGACACCUAUUCCACCUUGUGGCAAACCCAUUCCAGCUUCCAACUGUUGGUUAAAAGUCAACAAUAUGUGAUAAUUUAUAUAUGCUAAUAAAUAAUAAAUGCAAUAGAAACUAACAGAAUAUAAACUAGAAUAUGAAUUCUAAAAGAGACAACUUGAAGAUCGAGGCUUGCGUACCGCAAUGUCCUUGAAACAGAAAUUUCGUCCCUACUCUGUGCUUGUAGUUCUACGGACGUCUGCUUCACCAGGAUUCAACGAUCAAGUUAAAAUUCCAGCACCAGAAAAUUUAACUUCUGGCGAAUUUAGUGUGGUUCUCUCAGUAAGAAGGUUUAUGAAUGUAGAAGAUGAAGUUGAUUAUUUAUGUGUUCUAAAUGCCAUGCAGAUGGAUGUAUAUAUAGCAGAUGGAUGCUUGUUUGCAACAUGUAUGAAAAUGGGGUGUGACUGUUGGGAGACAUCUCUUCAGAGGGGUGCUUUGCUCUGUGCUUUGCUCUAUGCUUUUGCUCUGUUUUCAUAAAAAUAAUUAAUUAAUUAAAUUCGAAUUUAAUUAAAAAUAAUUAAUUAAAUUCGAAAAAUAAUUAAUUAAAUAAUUUAAUUAUUAGAGCCCAAGAGCCCCAAGGUCCAAGGCCCAUCUUUUGACAAUUAAAUAUAUAUUAAUUAUAUAUUAAUUAUAAUUAAUUAUAUAUUAAUUACCAAAUAAUUAAUACACCCCAAAGCCCAAUCCAAAGGGUGAGCCCAAUUUUAGUCUCCAGGCCUAUUACUCCAAUUACUUUCUUUAAAGGACAAAGCCUUAUAAAGUGAUAAACUCUUUUGGGAAUGGCCAAUGUGGGACAAAGAAAUUUCUACUCAAAGUUCCAACACCAACUUGAUUAGCACGAACUCAAGCUAACAGAUAGCUUACUCAGUCAUUUGAAUGCAGUAGGGGUCAACUACUUAAGUAGGUAGAAUAUCACGCAUAUUGCCAGCUUUUUCUAUUACAAUCAUCUCAACAUUUUGUUGGUCCUUUUAGAGAUCGAAACCAUCAAACCUUACCAACGAAUUUAUGCUAUGCAUGGGCAUUAAAUGAACAUACACAAACCCUAAUAAUUUACAGAAAAGGUUCGCAUUUUGUUUGAGUGACAGAGCACAGUUAUAUCAGCACUUGAGCGGCAUAGCACAGUUAUAGAAUCCACCGCUUGAGCGGCAGAACUCAGCUAUAUCACUGCUUGAGUGGCAGAAGCACUAACCUGAAUUUGCAGCCAUGUUCUGCAGUGGAUGAAUCGGUUCUUAGGGCAAUGGUUAGUCUUCUCUUCUCUUGUAAUCACGUUAGAGUUCUCAAGUUUUCAAUGGGACAAACCAAACUAUAUGGAACAAGGAUAGAUUACCGAGAAGAGGGACCAAGCAUUUCUAUAUAUGCAUUGCAACUGUUUCCUCCCAUUAAGUGAGCAAUUGCAAUCAAUUAUCAAAGGAACUCUAACUGCAUCAUUUAAAUUCAAAUUUGUUCCUUAUAUUUCCCUCCAAAUGGUUGUUAUCCGGUUACAACCCUAAUUAAGUCUUACUUUAUACAUAGCUCAUAUUACUUGUGUUAUUGCAUGACUUGGUGUUUGAUCUUGCUCACCAAGUAAACCUUACAUAUUUCAAUUCAAUUCUAAACCAAAACCAUGUCCAUCACUCGGCAGUUAGGAAAACUAUAGUAUAGUUGGACACACUGGUGAAGAAAACACUAACCAAUUAAAGAUUUUUUUUUAAUUUUUUUUUAAUACGGGUCUUCCACUUCUACUGAGUAGUCACAACACAAGUAAUAUGUACCACAUAAGCCGAAUAAAAUUUCAACAUAUCACAACAAUAAAGCAAACAAUGAUACUUUACUUCCAACUACGUUAACACCUAACAACCCAUAUUACUACCCCCUAACUAGACCUACUAGUCUCUCAGUCAAAUGAAUUCAAGUCCAAACAAAAGACUUGACAAAACUAAUACCACAAAACAAAAAUGCUCUAGCUCUUUUAGUUCAACUGACUAUUUAAUUGGUAACACAACUUCCCCAAGGGUGUCUAAUCCCUAUGCUCUGAUACCAUUCUGUCACGCCCUGGACCCGGGGUCAAUAGGAAAACUCUCAAACCUGAAUCUGGCGCGCAAGCUAAAAAUAAAAUUAAAUAAAAGGAAAGUGAAACUGGGUGGAAAAAUAUGAAAUUCCUCUUAUAACAAGAAAUCGAUAAUUCUUUACAAGACUAAAAUAAAUAAAUACAAAAUUCUAUCCUCGCACUUAAUCCGAUCUCAUCCCGUCUACUCUUUUUGACCGUUUAGUUCUUAAACUUGCAUAACAAUAGAGGGGUGAGCUUCAAUAGCUCAGCAGAUAACCUUAUCACAGUAAUUGACAAUAUUAAAUUAAGUGUCAUGAAAUCAUAUAGCCAGAUAUCAAAUCAUUAUUGCUAAUAAUGCAUGAAUGCAAUGCAACCUCUUCAAUUACCCCUGUUAAUUUAUAUAAUAAAACACGCGGACCUGCACGCCCCAUAUCAUGUAUUUUACCCCUGCAGAGGUGGUUCGAAUAUGCUGUCAUUUGGUUAAUUUAUAACAGCAUGGCCAUCAGUGAAGGAACUUUUGAACUAGAAUACUUUUAUAAAAUAAGCAAAGGUAUUGUUCAAAAUACAUAAGUACAUUAACAUAGUUCAGCCAAGCUAUAUAUUAGAUAAAAACACGAAUCCGUUAGUAUUAUGAAUGAUAUGUAAAAGUUCGUAAUAUAAACUCUUUGUAUUAUGCAAUAGAAUGCUUCAUUUCAAAUAGCAUAAAAGUAUGGUUGUUGUUUUGGGAAAAUAGAAAUCUCCAACCGAAUUCCAUUUGUCAAACCAAUUUAUAAAAGAACUGGUAAACUGAUAUCAUAUGUACAGCCUUUUGAAUAUCAUCUUUUAUAACAAAAUAUAUAUAGCCAACAGGAAACAAUACCCAAAUAAGUAUACCAGUUCUUACGUGCCAAAAUAGGGUUUAAGCACAUGCAUAUUUUGGUUGUUCAUAUAAAACUGGUUUUGCAUAAAUAAACACACCUGCAUACAGUGGCGGAUCCAGAAAAAAAUGUUUAUGGGGUCAUAGCGCGCGCAGCGCGAAAUUUUUUUUUAGCCUCGUUUGGUACUUCGGACUGUAUUGACUAUUUCAGUCGGAUAAGAUAAAUAGUCGUCGGAUAGUACUAACUCCAUUAGUCGGGCGUUUGGUGCAGUGUCGAAUUAAUCUGUGCAUGGAACAAUAAUAAAGUAUAGGGACUGACCCAAGAUUCUGGCAUAAAUCACAUCAUAAUUCGUUUAUGUGGAUUCAUGCAAGUAAGUUUCACUUAAACUUCCUCUUUUAUUGUCUUGUUACUGGCGUAUCCAAAUUUUUUCUUUCCCUGACAGCUUGAUGUUUCAAAUUAAUUUCCGUAUCUUCUUAAUGUUCUCGUUCUCAUAUAGCACUCCUCCAACCCCUAUCAUUUCUUUAUCAGAAAGACCAAUUAAACUGGAUAGAGUUAUAAAAAGUAGCAUGUAUAAAUAUCAUUCACUUGACAAAAACAGGCAUGCAACCAAGCACACAACCAAGCUCAUUUGACUGGGCUGCUUCUUCUUCCUCUUCCUGCCCAGUUUUCGUUCAGGGCUUUUGUCGAACAGUUGGCGUGCCUCCGACCCCGACGACCCCAGCUCCAAGAGGUCGCAUAUGGGAGCUUCAAGGUUGUUUCCAUGGUUUCCAAGAGGUCGUGCGACCCCGACGACCCCACUGUGGAUCCGCCAAUGUGUAUAAAUAUCAUUCACUUGACAAAAACAGGCAUGCAACCAAGCACACAACCAAGCUCAUUUGACUGGGCUGCUUCUUCUUCCUCUUCCUGCCCAGUUUUCGUUCAGGGCUUUUGUCGAACAGUUGGCGUGCCUCCGACCCCGACGACCCCAGCUCCAAGAGGUCGCAUAUGGGAGCUUCAAGGUUGUUUCCAUGGUUUCCAAGAGGUCGUGCGACCCCGACGACCCCACUGUGGAUCCGCCAAUGCCUGCAUACGAAGCUUGCAUAUAAACUAGUUUUGGAUAACAAUAGCUAAUCCAAGACAACAAUAAAAAAGGAAACAACUAAGGAGAGGGAAUAAAUGAAGUAUGGAAAUCGUUUACCCAUACACAACGAGAUACAGGUUGAGUCGAAUGGAUUCCACCGCCCUCUCUCAGUUCCGGUCUCUGGUCCUUACUCGG